rnacentral:pre_miRNA from 1 species
GAUUUCAACUGAAAAAGUCAUCAACAACAAAGUCGUAUAAUUCACCAAGAUCUAUAACUUUUAUGUUUGUCAUUUUUUCAUCCGACAAAGUGUUACUAACAUUGUUCACAAAAUUCACAAAUAUGUGUUAUAGUUUAUAAACCAGAUGAGAGAUAUGUGAAUUUUGUGAACAAUGUUACUAUCACUUUUUCGGAUGAAGAAAUGACCAAAAUAAAAGUUAUAGAUAUUGAUGAGUUAUACAACUUUGUUGUUGAUAACUUUUUCAGUUGAAAUC